GAUGAACGCUGGCGGCGUGCCUAAUACAUGCAAGUCGAGCGAACAGAUGAGAAGCUUGCUUCUCUGAUGUUAGCGGCGGACGGGUGAGUAACACGUGGGUAACCUACCUAUAAGACUGGGAUAACUCCGGGAAACCGGGGCUAAUACCGGAUAAUAUUUUGAACCGCAUGGUUCAAUAGUGAAAGACGGCUCUGCUGACACUUAUAGAUGACCUUGCGGUGCAUUAGUUAGUUGGUGGGGUAAUGGCCUACCAAGACGAUGAUGCAUAGCCGACCUGAGAGGGUGAUCGGCCACAUUGGGACUGAGACACGGCCCAAACUCCUACGGGAGGCAGCAGUAGGGAAUCUUCCGCAAUGGGCGAAAGCCUGACGGAGCAAUGCCGCGUGAGUGAAGAAGGCCUUCGGGUCGUAAAACUCUGUUAUAAGAGAAGAACAAAUUGUAGAGUAACUGCUACAGUCUUGACGGUAUCUUAUCAGAAAGCCACGGCUAACUACGUGCCAGCCGCCGCAGUAA
rnacentral:rRNA from 1 species